rfam:Bacillus sp. VT-16-70 Bacillus_obstructivus_contig082, whole genome shotgun sequence.
UCUGGUAAUUAUGGCAAGAAGGACACACCCGUUCCCAUCCCGAACACGGAAGUUAAGCUUCUUAGCGCCGAUGGUAGUUGGGGGCUCUCCCCCUGCAAGAUUUCAGAGUACGUAUAU